rnacentral:sRNA from 1 species
ACAGCGGCUGCACGUGACCCACAUGGUGCGCAAGCUGCACGUUGGAGAUUUUGUGUGGGUGGCCCAGGAGACCAAUCCUAGAGACCCAGGUGAAGGGCCGUGGACAGGCUGGCACCAGGGGCAGGGCCUGGUGGGUAGGGGAUCGCAAGCUAACGGCUGGCUUGUCAGCAGCAAACCCUGGGGAGUUGGUACUGGAUCACAUUGUGGAGCGCAAGCGACUGGAUGACCUUUGCAGCAGCAUCAUUGACGGCCGCUUCCGGGAGCAGAAGUUCCGGCUGAAGCGCUGUGGUCUGGAGCGCCGGGUAUACCUGGUGGAAGAGCAUGGUUCCGUCCACAACCUCAGCCUUCCUGAGAGCACACUGCUGCAGGCUGUCACCAACACUCAGGUCAUUGAUGGCUUUUUUGUGAAGCGCACAGCAGACAUUAAGGAGUCAGCCGCCUACCUGGCCCUCUUGACGCGGGGCCUGCAGAGACUCUACCAG